rnacentral:rRNA from 1 species
GUGCUUGCACCUGGUGGCGAGUGGCGAACGGGUGAGUAAUACAUCGGAACAUGUCCUGUAGUGGGGGAUAGCCCGGCGAAAGCCGGAUUAAUACCGCAUACGAUCUACGGAUGAAAGCGGGGGACCUUCGGGCCUCGCGCUAUAGGGUUGGCCGAUGGCUGAUUAGCUAGUUGGUGGGGUAAAGGCCUACCAAGGCGACGAUCAGUAGCUGGUCUGAGAGGACGACCAGCCACACUGGGACUGAGACACGGCCCAGACUCCUACGGGAGGCAGCAGUGGGGAAUUUUGGACAAUGGGCGAAAGCCUGAUCCAGCAAUGCCGCGUGUGUGAAGAAGGCCUUCGGGUUGUAAAGCACUUUUGUCCGGAAAGAAAUCCUUGGUUCUAAUAUAGCCGGGGGAUGACGGUACCGGAAGAAUAAGCACCGGCUAACUACGUGCCAGCAGCCGCGGUAAUACGUAGGGUGCGAGCGUUAAUCGGAAUUACUGGGCGUAAAGCGUGCGCAGGCGGUUUGCUAAGACCGAUGUGAAAUCCCCGGGCUCAACCUGGGAACUGCAUUGGUGACUGGCAGGCUAGAGUAUGGCAGAGGGGGGUAGAAUUCCACGUGUAGCAGUGAAAUGCGUAGAGAUGUGGAGGAAUACCGAUGGCGAAG